rnacentral:rRNA from 1 species
ACGCUCGACACCUACGGGAGGUAGCAGUGGGGGAUAUUGCACAAUGGGGGAAACCCUGAUGCAGCAACGCCGCGUGAGGGAAGACGGUUUUCGGAUUGUAAACCUCUGUCAUCGGUGACGAUAAUGACGGUAGCCGAUGAGGAAGCUCCGGCUAACUACGUGCCAGCAGCCGCGGUAAUCUGAGCGGGCUGGCAAGGC